rnacentral:rRNA from 1 species
UACAUGGGGUGCAAACGUUGCUCGGAAUUAUUGGGCGUAAAGCGCACGUAGGCGGUUUGUUAAGUCGGAUGUGAAAUCCCUCGGCUCAACUGAGGAAGUGCAUCCGAAACUGGCAGGCUUGAGUACUAAAGAGGGUCGCGGAAUUCCCGGUGUAGAGGUGAAAUGCGCAGAUAUCAGGAGGAACACCAAUUGCGAAGGCAGCUCGCUGGGACGUUACUGACGCUGAGGAGCGAAAGCGUGGGGAGCGAACAGG